rnacentral:lncRNA from 1 species
AACUAUAAAACUGAAGAGUAGGCUUUCAGUAUCCCAGAUUGGACAACAGAGCUUUCCCUCAAACCAUGCAGUUGUCAGAGGAACAGCAGGAACCUUUGCCAAGGACACAGGGUUAGCUUUAGACCUAAGUGUGAGGAUGGAGAGAGACCCAAAGAGGAGGGAUACGGGCAAGGCACACAGGAGCAGCAGGGACUGCUCUGUAGUCCUGCUGUUUGAAACCAUCUUUCAGAGGCAUGAUUUACAUAUAAUAAAUAAUUCCAGCCUUCAGAGAGUGUGUGUGUGUGUGUGUGUGUGUGUGUGUGUGUGUGUCCCUCUGUAAAAUGGGGGUUGUUGCUAUGAGGUAGUGGCACAUGCCUUUAAUCCCGACGCAACAGCACUCUUUUAAUCCCAGGCAGAGGCAGGCAGAUCUCUGUGAGUUCAAGGCCACUCUGAUCUACAGAUUGAGUUCUAAGACAGCCAGGGCUACACAAAAAAACCCCGACCCCACCCCAUCUCAAAAAAAAAAAAAAAA